rnacentral:rRNA from 1 species
UAGAGUUUGAUCCUGGCUCAAGAUGAACGCUAGCUACAGGCUUAACACAUGCAAGUCGAGGGGCAGCAUGGUCUUAGCUUGCUAAGACUGAUGGCGACCGGCGCACGGGUGAGUAACACGUAUCCAACCUGCCGUCUACUCUUGGACAGCCUUCUGAAAGGAAGAUUAAUACAAGAUGGCAUCAUGAGUCCGCAUGUUCACAUGAUUAAAGGUAUUCCGGUAGACGAUGGGGAUGCGUUCCAUUAGAUAGUAGGCGGGGUAACGGCCCACCUAGUCUUCGAUGGAUAGGGGUUCUGAGAGGAAGGUCCCCCACAUUGGAACUGAGACACGGUCCAAACUCCUACGGGAGGCAGCAGUGAGGAAUAUUGGUCAAUGGGCGAGAGCCUGAACCAGCCAAGUAGCGUGAAGGAUGACUGCCCUAUGGGUUGUAAACUUCUUUUAUAAAGGAAUAAAGUCGGGUAUGGAUACCCGUUUGCAUGUACUUUAUGAAUAAGGAUCGGCUAACUCCGUGCCAGCAGCCGCGGUAAUACGGAGGAUCCGAGCGUUAUCCGGAUUUAUUGGGUUUAAAGGGAGCGUAGAUGGAUGUUUAAGUCAGUUGUGAAAGUUUGCGGCUCAACCGUAAAAUUGCAGUUGAUACUGGAUAUCUUGAGUGCAGUUGAGGCAGGCGGAAUUCGUGGUGUAGCGGUGAAAUGCUUAGAUAUCACGAAGAACUCCGAUUGCGAAGGCAGCCUGCUAAGCUGCAACUGACAUUGAGGCUCGAAAGUGUGGGUAUCAAACAGGAUUAGAUACCCUGGUAGUCCACACGGUAAACGAUGAAUACUCGCUGUUUGCGAUAUACUGCAAGCGGCCAAGCGAAAGCGUUAAGUAUUCCACCUGGGGAGUACGCCGGCAACGGUGAAACUCAAAGGAAUUGACGGGGGCCCGCACAAGCGGAGGAACAUGUGGUUUAAUUCGAUGAUACGCGAGGAACCUUACCCGGGCUUAAAUUGCAGAUGAAUUACGGUGAAAGCCGUAAGCCGCAAGGCAUCUGUGAAGGUGCUGCAUGGUUGUCGUCAGCUCGUGCCGUGAGGUGUCGGCCUAAGUGCCAUAACGAGCGCAACCCUUGUUGUCAGUUACUAACAGGUUCCGCUGAGGACUCUGACAAGACUGCCAUCGUAAGAUGUGAGGAAGGUGGGGAUGACGUCAAAUCAGCACGGCCCUUACGUCCGGGGCUACACACGUGUUACAAUGGGGGGUACAGAGGGCCGCUACCACGCGAGUGGAUGCCAAUCCCAAAAACCUCUCUCAGUUCGGACUGGAGUCUGCAACCCGACUCCACGAAGCUGGAUUCGCUAGUAAUCGCGCAUCAGCCACGGCGCGGUGAAUACGUUCCCGGGCCUUGCACA